rnacentral:rRNA from 1 species
UACGGAGGAUCCAAGCGUUAUCCGGAUUUAUUGGGUUUAAAGGGUGCGUAGGUGGCCUGUUAAGUCAGGGGUGAAAGACGGUAGCUUAACUAUCGCAGUGCCUUUGAUACUGAUGGGCUUGAAUACACUAGAGGUAGGCGGAAUGUGACAAGUAGCGGUGAAAUGCAUAGAUAUGUCACAGAACACCAAUUGCGAAGGCAGCUUACUAUGGUGUCAUUGACACUGAGGCACGAAAGCGUGGGGAUCAAACAGG